UUAAGCGACUAAGCGUACACGGUGGAUGCCCUGGCAGUCAGAGGCGAUGAAGGACGUGCUAAUCUGCGAAAAGCGUCGGUAAGGUGAUAUGAACCGUUAUAACCGGCGAUGUCCGAAUGGGGAAACCCAGUGCAAUUCGUUGCACUAUCGUUAACUGAAUACAUAGGUUAACGAGGCGAACCGGGGGAACUGAAACAUCUAAGUACCCCGAGGAAAAGAAAUCAACCGAGAUUCCCCCAGUAGCGGCGAGCGAACGGGGAGCAGCCCAGAGUCUGAAUCAGCUUGUGUGUUAGUGGAACGGUCUGGAAAGUCCGACGGUACAGGGUGAUAGUCCCGUACACCAAAAUGCACAGGCUGUGAACUCGAAGAGUAGGGCGGGACACGUGGUAUCCUGUCUGAAUAUGGGGGGACCAUCCUCCAAGGCUAAAUACUCCUGACUGACCGAUAGUGAACCAGUACCGUGAGGGAAAGGCGAAAAGAACCCCGGCGAGGGGAGUGAAAAAGAACCUGAAACCGUGUACGUACAAGCAGUGGGAGCACCUUCGGGUGUGACUGCGUACCUUUUGUAUAAUGGGUCAGCGACUUAUAUUCUGUAGCAAGGUUAACCGUAUAGGGGAGCCGCAGGGAAACCGAGUCUUAACUGGGCGUUAAGUUGCAGGGUAUAGACCCGAAACCCGGUGAUCUAGCCAUGGGCAGGUUGAAGGUUGGGUAACACUAACUGGAGGACCGAACCGACUAAUGUUGAAAAAUUAGCGGAUGACUUGUGGCUGGGGGUGAAAGGCCAAUCAAACCGGGAGAUAGCUGGUUCUCCCGAAAGCUAUUUAGGUAGCGCCUCGUGAACUCAUCUUCGGGGGUAGAGCACUGUUUCGGCUAGGGGGUCAUCCCGACUUACCAACCCGAUGCAAACUACGAAUACCGAAGAAUGUUAUCACGGGAGACACACGGCGGGUGCUAACGUCCGUCGUGAAGAGGGAAACAACCCAGACCGCCAGCUAAGGUCCCAAAGUCAUGGUUAAGUGGGAAACGAUGUGGGAAGGCACAGACAGCCAGGAUGUUGGCUUAGAAGCAGCCAUCAUUUAAAGAAAGCGUAAUAGCUCACUGGUCGAGUCGGCCUGCGCGGAAGAUGUAACGGGGCUAAACCAUGCACCGAAGCUGCGGCAGCGACACUAUGUGUUGUUGGGUAGGGGAGCGUUCUGUAAGCCUGCGAAGGUGUGCUGUGAGGCAUGCUGGAGGUAUCAGAAGUGCGAAUGCUGACAUAAGUAACGAUAAAGCGGGUGAAAAGCCCGCUCGCCGGAAGACCAAGGGUUCCUGUCCAACGUUAAUCGGGGCAGGGUGAGUCGACCCCUAAGGCGAGGCCGAAAGGCGUAGUCGAUGGGAAACAGGUUAAUAUUCCUGUACUUGGUGUUACUGCGAAGGGGGGACGGAGAAGGCUAUGUUAGCCGGGCGACGGUUGUCCCGGUUUAAGCAUGUAGGCUGAUUGUCCAGGCAAAUCCGGAUAAUCAAGGCUGAGGUGUGAUGACGAGGCACUACGGUGCUGAAGUAACAAAUGCCCUGCUUCCAGGAAAAGCCUCUAAGCAUCAGGUAACAUCAAAUCGUACCCCAAACCGACACAGGUGGUCAGGUAGAGAAUACCAAGGCGCUUGAGAGAACUCGGGUGAAGGAACUAGGCAAAAUGGUGCCGUAACUUCGGGAGAAGGCACGCUGGUGUGUAGGUGAAGUCCCUGCGGAUGGAGCUGAGACCAGUCGAAGAUACCAGCUGGCUGCAACUGUUUAUUAAAAACACAGCACUGUGCAAACACGAAAGUGGACGUAUACGGUGUGACGCCUGCCCGGUGCCGGAAGGUUAAUUGAUGGGGUUAUCCGUAAGGAGAAGCUCUUGAUCGAAGCCCGGUAAACGGCGGCCGUAACUAUAACGGUCCUAAGGUAGCGAAAUUCCUUGUCGGGUAAGUUCCGACCUGCACGAAUGGCGUAAUGAUGGCCAGGCUGUCUCCACCCGAGACUCAGUGAAAUUGAACUCGCUGUGAAGAUGCAGUGUACCCGCGGCAAGACGGAAAGACCCCGUGAACCUUUACUAUAGCUUGACACUGAACAUUGAGCCUUGAUGUGUAGGAUAGGUGGGAGGCUUUGAAGCGUGGACGCCAGUCUGCGUGGAGCCAACCUUGAAAUACCACCCUUUAAUGUUUGAUGUUCUAACGUUGGCCCCUGACCGGGGUUGCGGACAGUGUCUGGUGGGUAGUUUGACUGGGGCGGUCUCCUCCCAAAGCGUAACGGAGGAGCACGCAGGUUAGCUAAUCGGUCGGACAUCAGGAGGUUAGUGCAAUGGCAUAAGCUAGCUUGACUGCGAGCGUGACGGCGCGAGCAGGUGCGAAAGCAGGUCAUAGUGAUCCGGUGGUUCUGAAUGGAAGGGCCAUCGCUCAACGGAUAAAAGGUACUCCGGGGAUAACAGGCUGAUACCGCCCAAGAGUUCAUAUCGACGGCGGUGUUUGGCACCUCGAUGUCGGCUCAUCACAUCCUGGGGCUGAAGUAGGUCCCAAGGGUAUGGCUGUUCGCCAUUUAAAGUGGUACGCGAGCUGGGUUUAGAACGUCGUGAGACAGUUCGGUCCCUAUCUGCCGUGGGCGCUGGAGAAUUGAGGGGGGCUGCUCCUAGUACGAGAGGACCGGAGUGGACGCAUCACUGGUGUUCGGGUUGUCAUGCCAAUGGCACUGCCCGGUAGCUAAAUGCGGAAGAGAUAAGUGCUGAAAGCAUCUAAGCACGAAACUUGCCCCGAGAUGAGUUCUCCCUGAGACUUUAAGUCUCCUGAAGGAACGUUAAAGACGAUGACGUUGAUAGGCCGGGUGUGUAAGCGCAGCGAUGCGUUGAGCUAACCGGUACUAAUGAACCGUGAGGCUUAACCU
rnacentral:rRNA from 1 species